AUUGAACGCUGGCGGCAGGCCUAACACAUGCAAGUCGAACGAGUGGCGGACGGGUGAGUAAUGUCUGGGAAACUGCCUGAUGGAGGGGGAUAACUACUGGAAACGGUAGCUAAUACCGCAUACCAUCAGAUGUGCCCAGAUGGGCUUAGCUUGUUGGUGGGGUAACGGCUCACCAAGGCGACGGUCCCUAGCUGGUCUGAGCGGAUGACCUACAACACUGGAACUGAGACACGGUACAGGCUCCUACGGGAGGCAGCAGUGGUGAAGAUGGAACAAUGGGCGCAAGCCGGAUGCAGCCAUGCCGCGUGUAUCAAGAAGGCCUUCGGGUUGUAAAGUACUUUCAUCGGGGAUGCGUUACCAGCAGAAGAAGCACCGGCUAACUCCGUGCCAGCAGCCGCGGUAAUAC
rnacentral:rRNA from 1 species